rnacentral:rRNA from 1 species
AACCUGGUUGAUCCUGCCAAUAGUCAUAUGCUUGUCUCAAAGAUUAAGCCAUGCAUGUCUAAGUAUAAGCACUUGUACUAUGAAACUGCGAAUGGCUCAUUAAAUCAGUUAUCGUUUAUUUGAUUGUACCUUACUACAUGGAUACCUGUGGUAAUUCUAGGGCUAAUACAUGCGAAAAAUCCCGACUUCUGGAAGGGAUGUAUUUAUUAGAUUAAAAACCAAUGCGGGUCUUCGGGCCCGUUUCCUUGGUGACUCAUGAUAACUUUUCGAAUCGCAUGGCCUAGCGCCGGCGAUAUUUCAUUCAAAUUUCUGCCCUAUCAACUGUCGAUGGUAAGGUAGUGGCUUACCAUGGUUAUAACGGGUGACGGAGAAUUAGGGUUCGAUUCCGGAGAGGGAGCCUGAGAAACGGCUACCACAUCUAAGGAAGGCAGCAGGCUCGAAAAUUACCCAAAUCCCAAUUCGGGGAGGUAGUGACAAGAAAUAACGAUACGGGGUCUUAAUAGGUCU